rnacentral:misc_RNA from 1 species
UCCGGUUUGUCACCGGCAGUCUGGCGUGAGUCCCCAACUUAAUGCUGGCAACACGCCACGGGGGUUGCGCUCGUUGCGGGACUUAACCCAACAUCUCACGACACGAGCUGACGACAGCCAUGCAGCACCUGUCUCACGGUUCCCGAAGGCACCAAUCCAUCUCUGGAAAGUUCCGUGGAUGUCAAGACCAGGUAAGGUUCUUCGCGUUGCGUCGAAUUGAACCACAUGCUCCACCGCUUGUGCGGGCCCCCGUCAAUUCCUUUGAGUCUUAAUCUUGCGACCGUACUCCCCAGGCGGGAAGCUUAAUGCGUUAGCUGCGCCACCGAACAGUAUACUGCCCGACGGCUAGCUUCCAUCGUUUACGGCGUGGACUAC